GGUGAACGCUGGUAACGUGGAUACCGGCAUGCAAGUCACGGGGGCCGCAAGGCAACCGGCGAACGGCUUAGUAACACGUGGGUACAUACCUUAGAGUGGGGCAUAGCUCGUCGAAAGACGGGGUAAUUCCCCAUAGCAUCGCAAGAUUAAAGGUGCAAACCGCUCUAAGAAUGGCCUGCGGCCUAUCAGAUUGUUGGCGAGGUAAUAGCUCACCAAGUCUAUGACGGGUAGGGGGCGUGAGAGCGCGACCCCCAAGAAUGGCACCGCGACACGGGCCAUACUCCUACGGGAGGCUGCAGUCGAGAAUCUUCCGCAAUGGGCGAAAGCCUGACGGAGCGACGUUACGUGAAUGAUGAAGCCCUUCGGGGUGUAAAGUU
rnacentral:rRNA from 1 species